rnacentral:rRNA from 1 species
GACGAACGCUGGCGGCGUGCUUAACACAUGCAAGUCGAACGGAAAGGCCCUGCUUUUGUGGGGUGCUCGAGUGGCGAACGGGUGAGUAACACGUGAGUAACCUGCCCUUGACUUUGGGAUAACUUCAGGAAACUGGGGCUAAUACCGGAUAGGAGCUCCUGCUGCAUGGUGGGGGUUGGAAAGUUUCGGCGGUUGGGGAUGGACUCGCGGCUUAUCAGCUUGUUGGUGGGGUAGUGGCUUACCAAGGCUUUGACGGGUAGCCGGCCUGAGAGGGUGACCGGGCGCAGGGGGACUUAGGGAAGGCGCAGACGCCUACUGGAGGCAGCAGGGGGGAAGAUGGAACAAGGGCCGGAAGCGUGAUGCAGCAACGCCGCGUGCGGGAGGACGGGCGUCGGGUGGGAAAAAGCUUUCGCCGGGGACGAAGCGGGGGGGAUGGGAAUGGGUAAAGAAGCAACGGCUAACUACGUG